CUGCCUUUGCUAGCAAGUGCUCACAUUACAUCAUGCCCCUUGCGGCUGGUGCUGGUCUGCUGCUGCUGUUGGUGUCUCUGAGCCUCGUAUGGACCCUCUGCCCUUCCACUCUAGGAUUCCAGCCCAGGAUCUCAGCACCCCCAGCUUCAGAGGAGCACCAGGGUGGAAUCUUAUACGCUCAUCUGGAUUUUGAUUCGCGGAAUCGCAAGGGGCGCACGAUGCAGCGAUCAGCCAGAGGGAAACAUCUAAAACCCUGAACUGUCUAAUGCAGGGGAAUCCACACGUGGGAACUGAUGUGUAUCAGAUGUAGCAGCUGGAAGAAGGCUCUGUCUGUCUCCGUCUCCUUUCUUUUUUAGUUUCUCCACUUCUCUGUUUAGAAUAAAAAGGUCAGAAGAUCCCCACAGAGUCCAGCCUCGUCAGGUGGGAAAUCUCUUUUUGGGAUAUAAAGGCAUCAGGGUGUAGAUGACUUCACCCAUCACUUGUGUAUUCAAUUGGAAGCUCUUUGGGGCAGGGACUGUCUCUUUGUUCUGUGUUUGUGCUGCACCUAGCACAGAGGGGCCUGGUCCAUAACCGGGGCUCCUGGGUGCUAUGGUAACACAAUCAUCAUCCUCUGCGCAUCUGCAGAGGGACCCGGACACAGCUGAACAGCUGCAGCUUCCCUGCACAGAGAGAGGCCGGACGGCAGGAGCCUGCAGAGGAGACCUGCAGCCCCUGUAUAUGCCACAGCUCCCAGCUCCCCUGAUCCUCAGCUGUAAUGUUACAUGGACGUGCAGUGGGAUUGUGAAGGGGGAGGAUGGAUGCAGGAACUGGGAGGGAUGAGAAUCUCUCCCCAGGCUAGGGCUGGAGCUGCUAUUCCAGUGCUUCCUCUGGAGCAGUGUUUAUCAACAACCAGUCCAUGGUCCGGCGCUGGUCCCUGAGAUCUUCCUGACACAGUUUAGGAAGGCAGCAAGCCGGUCCCUGGUAUCCAAAAGGUUGAGAAACACUCUCUAGAGUCUGCUGCUUUUCCCCAAGGGCGAGAUUCAGAGAGGCCCAUGUGCCAGCCCACGGGCGAGAUUCACAGAGGCCCAUGUGCCAGCCCUUCUGCACCAUCUAACGAUAAUAACACAUUAUCAAUGACUGCAGCUCUCCUGGUGCCUGAGCCUGCACACGCUGCCUGUUUA